UGGGGAAUAUUGCACAAUGGGCGCAAGCCUGAUGCAGCCAUGCCGCGUGUAUGAAGAAGGCCUUCGGGUUGUAAAGUACUUUCAGCGAGGAGGAAGGCGGUAAGGUUAAUAACCUUAUCGAUUGACGUUACUCGCAGAAGAAGCACCGGCUAACUCCGUGCCAGCAGCCGCGGUAAUACGGAGGGUGCAAGCGUUAAUCGGAAUUACUGGGCGUAAAGCGCACGCAGGCCGUCUGUCAAGUCGGAUGUGAAAUCCCCGGGCUCAACCUGGGAACUGCAUUCGAAACUGGCAGGCUAGAGUCUUGUAGAGGGGGGUAGAAUUCCAGGUGUAGCGGUGAAAUGCGUAGAGAUCUGGAGGAAUACCGGUGGCGAAGGCGGCCCCCUGGACAAAGACUGACGCUCAGGUGCGAAAGCGUGGGGAGCAAACA
rnacentral:rRNA from 1 species